AAAGAAACAAACAAACAAAAAACACUUUUGAAGACAUAAGGGCUUGACAGAGGCAGUUUGUGCCUUCUUGCCCUUCUGCUCUGUGAGGACACGGCAUUCAAGAAGCCAUCUUAAAAGCAGAAAGCAGCCCUCACCAGACAACUAAACCUGCUAGCCCCUUGAUCUUGGACUCUCGGCCUCCAGAACUGUAAGAAAAUGAAUUUCUGUUCUUUGUAAAUUA